rnacentral:rRNA from 1 species
UACAUGGGGUGCAAACGUUGCUCGGAAUUAUUGGGCGUAAAGCGCGCGUAGGCGGUUACUUAAGUCGGAUGUGAAAGCCCUCGGCUUAACUGAGGAAGUGCACCCGAAACUGAGUAACUAGAGUACGAAAGAGGGUCGCGGAAUUCCCGGUGUAGAGGUGAAAUUCGUAGAUAUCGGGAGGAACACCGGUGGCGAAGGCGGCGACCUGGGUCGAGACUGACGCUGAGGCGCGAAAGCUAGGGGAGCAAACAGG